rnacentral:rRNA from 1 species
GACAGAGGAGGCAAGCGUUGUUCGGAAUUACUGGGCUUAAAGCGCGUGUAGGUUGCUGCGUAAGUGUUCUGUGAAAUGCAACGGCUCAACCGUUGAACGGCAGGGCAUACUGCGUGGCUUGAGGUCGGUAGAGGUGCCUGGAACUCUAGGUGGAGCGGUGAAAUGCGUAGAUAUCUAGAGGAACGCCGGAGGCGAAAGCGGGGCACUGGGCCGAUUCUGACGCUGAGACGCGAAAGCGUGGGGAGAAAACAGG